rnacentral:rRNA from 1 species
AGUGAACGCUGGCGGUAGGCCUAACACAUGCAAGUCGAACGGCAGCACAGUAAGAGCUUGCUCUUACGGGUGGCGAGUGGCGGACGGGUGAGGAAUACAUCGGAAUCUACUUUUUCGUGGGGGAUAACGUAGGGAAACUUACGCUAAUACCGCAUACGACCUACGGGUGAAAGCAGGGGAUCUUCGGACCUUGCGCGAUUGAAUGAGCCGAUGUCGGAUUAGCUAGUUGGCGGGGUAAAGGCCCACCAAGGCGACGAUCCGUAGCUGGUCUGAGAGGAUGAUCAGCCACACUGGAACUGAGACACGGUCCAGACUCCUACGGGAGGCAGCAGUGGGGAAUUUUGGACAAUGGGCGCAAGCCUGAUCCAGCCAUACCGCGUGGGUGAAGAAGGCCUUCGGGUUGUAAAGCACUUUUGUUGGGAAAGAAAAGCAGCAGGUUAAUACCCCGCUGUUAUGACGGUACCCAAAGAAUAAGCACCGGCUAACUUCGUG